UGCUCAUUAAUUUUCCCUUUUCAAAAGUGCAACUUUCUUUUUCUGUUUCACCUGGCCAAACCUGGAUAUAGACAGUUUCUUGUUUUUGUAAGGGUUUCAGCUACUGUGAGAAAUACUGGAUUUCUUUUCUGAUUCUAUUUUGCAACAUUUCCAGGAAGAGACUGAUUGGCACAAUUGACCAUCUCAGGUCCCGUGAACUGGAUAGAGGUUGUAAGUCUUGCUCCAUUACUAGUAACACAGAACCAGCUGCAAUCAAGUAAUAGAAAUGUGAUCUCCAGUGACUCCUCACAUAAGGAAAUAGCCUGACAAAGGUAAACAUCCCAGACCUACAACAACGGCUCUAUGGGGCACUUAUGCAAGCACCUUGAAACUUUCAGUUCAUUCUAAGGCAGCUAAAAUGAUAAAUUGAUGGCAGGAUCAACCAGGCUUCUACUUGGAUAAAGAGUCUUUGGUUAAGAAAGAGAUCAAGAGAGAUGUG